GCUCGCUUCGGCAGGACAUAUACUAAAAUUGGAACAAAACAGCAAUUAGCAUGGCCCCUGUGCAAGGAUGACUCUCAAAUUUGUGAAGCAUUCCAUAUUUUU